UACGAAGGGUGCAAACGUUGCUCGGAAUUAUUGGACGUAAAGCGCACGUAGGCGGUAUUGCAAGUCGGAUGUGAAAUCCCUCGGCUUAACCAAGGAAGUGCAUCCGAAACUGCUGUACUUGAGUACGAAAGAGGAUCGCGGAAUUCCCGGUGUAGAGGUGAAAUUCGUAGAUAUCGGGAGGAACACCAGUGGCGAAGGCGGCGAUCUGGGUCGAUACUGACGCUGAGGUGCGAAAGCGUGGGGAGCAAACAGG
rnacentral:rRNA from 1 species